rnacentral:tRNA from 2 species
AAUAAUAUGCCUGAUUAAAGGAUCACUUUGAUAUAGUGGGUUAUGCAAUAGCUAUUAUUA